CCCCCUCAGCCAGCUGGGCAGUGACGGCCUCUGGAGCCAGGAGCCCACGGUGCGGCCCCUAAAAAGACGAAAAAAGAGGAAAAGAAAACGACCAAAAACACGAGCAGUAAACCAGGAGAUCGUUCUCAGCCUGGAGCUGGAGGAGCCUGGAGCAAACCCUUCCUGCAGGCCACCUCCCAACCCAGGCCCACUUGGGAUGCUCCUGUCCAGCCUGGGCCAAAAGGGCUCUAAGCCACUAGCUGGGCCACAUCAGAGGCACCCAGAGGGACUGGCCUGGCCCCCAGCCCCCAGGCUCUGUUGGAAGCUCCCCCGUGUGGGCAGGAGGAGGCAGAUGCAGACGUGCACCUGACAGAGAGGGGACGGGGGACCAGCCCUGGCGGAAGACUGGGCAGCAGCACAACGGAGGGCCCACCCCACCCGCCCCAGGUCACCAGCGCCCCAGGCCACCCGGACCAAACAGCACAACA
rnacentral:lncRNA from 1 species